rnacentral:rRNA from 1 species
AUUGAACGCUGGCGGCAGGCCUAACACAUGCCAGUCGAGCGGAUGAAGGGAGCUUGCUCCUGGAUUCAGCGGCGGACGGGUGAGUAAUGCCUAGGAAUCUGCCUGGUAGUGGGGGAUAACGUCCGGAAACGGGCGCUAAUACCGCAUACGUCCUGAGGGAGAAAGUGGGGGAUCUUCGGACCUCACGCUAUCAGAUGAGCCUAGGUCGGAUUAGCUAGUUGGUGGGGUAAAGGCCUACCAAGGCGACGAUCCGUAACUGGUCUGAGAGGAUGAUCAGUCACACUGGAACGGAGACACGGUCCAGACUCCUACGGGAGGCAGCAGUGGGGAAUAUUGGACAAUGGGCGAAAGCCUGAUCCAGCCAUGCCGCGUGUGUGAAGAAGGUCUUCGGAUUGUAAAGCACUUUAAGUUGGGAGGAAGGGCAGUAAGUUAAUACCUUGCUGUUUUGACUUUACCAACAGAAUAAGCACCGGCUAACUUC